rnacentral:misc_RNA from 1 species
AAGUCGUAACAAGGUAUCCGUAGGUGAACCUGCGGAUGGAUCAUUAGCAAAGAGAGGAGGCAGUGAUGUGAACGGGGGGAGCAGAGAGAGGGUGGGCGCGCUGAGGCUGUGAGGGCUCGGCGCGGCGACGCUCAAGAAGAGUUUGAUGGAGUGUGAGAGUGAGUGUGCGAGAGAGGAGGAGACAGACAACUUUUAGCAACGGAUCUCUUGGCUCUC